UGAUGAAUAAAAUCGAAUCACCAUCUUUCGGCUGA
rnacentral:snoRNA from 14 species